rnacentral:rRNA from 1 species
UACGUAGGGGGCUAGCGUUGUCCGGAAUCAUUGGGCGUAAAGAGCGUGUAGGCGGCUCGGUAAGUCCGCUGUGAAAGUCCAGGGCUCAACCCUGGAAUGCCAGUGGAAACUGUCGAGCUAGAGUCCGGAAGAGGCGAGUGGAAUUCCUGGUGUAGCGGUGAAAUGUGCAGAUAUCAGGAGGAACACCAAUGGCGAAGGCAGCUCGCUGGGACGGUACUGACGCUGAGACGCGAAAGCGUGGGGAGCAAACAGG